GCGAGUGUAGUAUAAUGGUUAUUAUGCGAGCUUCCCAAGCUUGAGACGGCGGUUCGAUUCCGCUCACUCGCU
rfam:Parcubacteria (Falkowbacteria) bacterium GW2011_GWA2_41_14 TT43_C0002, whole genome shotgun sequence.